UACGUAGGUGGCAAGCGUUGUCCGGAUUUACUGGGCGUAAAGCGCACGCAGGUGGCCUAUCAAGUCUGGGGUAAAAUCUCCUGGCUCAACCAGGAGAGGUCUCUGGAUACUGGUAGGCUUGAGGGCAGCAGAGGAGAGCAGAAUUCCCGGUGUAGCGGUGAUAUGCGUAGAUAUCGGGAGGAAUACCAGUGGCGAAGGCGGCUCUCUGGGCUGUCCCUGACGCUGAGGUGCGAAAGCGUGGGGAGCAAACCGG
rnacentral:rRNA from 1 species